rnacentral:ncRNA from 1 species
UCAAUAGUAAUGAUGGGGAGAAGUAAUUUGUGGAUGCUUGUGUGCAGGUGCAUUAUGGUGCCUUGCACGGCCAGAGAGCCGGCAGAAGGUGCGAGCCGGCAGCAGAAGCUUAAGAAAUACACCCUUGAACUGCGGGCUGAAAGGUAUCGAGUAGGUCUUGCCGGAAGCUUCCUCCGUUAUAAAUGGAAGGGAAUAUGCAAGUAUUCUGAAAGAGGGUUUUGCAGACCAGUUUGCUGCAAGGCCAAUUAGGGUGGUACCGCGAGCCAUUCGUCCCUUUA